rnacentral:rRNA from 1 species
CCUACGGGUGGCUGCAGUGGGGAAUAUUGGACAAUGGGCGAAAGCCUGAUCCAGCCAUGCCGCGUGUGUGAAGAAGGCCUUCGGGUUGUAAAGCACUUUCAGUGGGGAAGAAAGCCUUGGGGCUAAUACCCUCGAGGAAGGACAUCACCCACAGAAGAAGCACCGGCUAACUCCGUGCCAGCAGCCGCGGUAAUACGGAGGGUGCGAGCGUUAAUCGGAAUUACUGGGCGUAAAGCGCGCGUAGGCGGUCUGAUAAGCCGGUUGUGAAAGCCCCGGGCUCAACCUGGGAACGGCAUCCGGAACUGUCAGGCUAGAGUGCAGGAGAGGAAGGUAGAAUUCCCGGUGUAGCGGUGAAAUGCGUAGAGAUCGGGAGGAAUACCAGUGGCGAAGGCGGCCUUCUGGACUGACACUGACGCUGAGGUGCGAAAGCGUGGGCAGCAAACAGGAUUAGAUACCCCAGUAGUC